UACGUAGGGUGCAAGCGUUAAUCGGAAUUACUGGGCGUAAAGGGCUCGUAGGCGGCCAACUAAGUCAGACGUGAAAUCCCUCGGCUUAACCGGGAACUGCAUCUGAUACUGGAUGGCUUGAGAUUGGGAGAGGGAUGCGGAAUUCCAGGUGUAGCGGUGAAAUGCGUAGAUAUCUGGAGGAACACCGGUGGCGAAGGCGGCAUCCUGGACCAACACUGACGCUGAGGAGCGAAAGCCAGGGGGACAACGGGAGUA
rnacentral:rRNA from 1 species